rnacentral:rRNA from 1 species
CUAAAAGAAUGGCGACCGGCGCACGGGUGAGUAACACGUAUCCAACCUGCCGAUAACUCGGGGAUAGCCUUUCGAAAGAAAGAUUAAUAUCCGAUGGUAUAUUUUCUCCGCAUGGUGAGAAUAUUAAAGAAUUUCGGUUAUCGAUGGGGAUGCGUUCCAUUAGUUUGUUGGCGGGGUAACGGCCCACCAAGACCACGAUGGAUAGGGGUUCUGAGAGGAAGGUCCCCCACAUUGGAACUGAGACACGGUCCAA